AGCCAUGCAUGUGCAAGCGAAGCCGGUGGUGGAGCGGCGCAAGGCUCAGUAACGGGCGACUGAUUUGAUCUCCCGGUGUGGACAACCUCUGUAACCGGAGGCCAAAACACAGGAGGCGCGUGACACGGGCACGGGCGUGCAACCGGCAGGUGCGGGAGAGUAAGGAGCCAUCCCAUCAGUUAGUAAGUAGGGUAAGGGCCUACUUAGACGAAGACGGGUACGGGGAAUUAGAGUUCGAUUCCGGAGAGGGAGCCUGAGAGACAGCUACCCCGUCCAAGGACAGCACCACGCGCGGAAAUUACCGAAACCCGCUUCGGGGCGGUAGUAAGGAGACAUGAAUACAAUGUGCAGGUAAAAUAUGCACUGGGAACAGGAGGUCAAGACUGGGGCCAGCAUCCCCGGUAAUACCCCCUCCUGGAGUGUCUAUGAUGAUUGUUGCACUUAAAGAGUUCUUAUUCGGGCUGCGUGACCGGCGCUGAAAGCUCCCUAUCUAGGGGGGCAGGGCGCCGGAGAAGCACAGGAUGAGGAGCGGCCGGGGGCCACGUUAUUAAGCGACAAGAGGUGAAAUUUGAUGACUCGCUUAUGAGCACCACAGACGAAAGCGCUGGCCAGGGGCGAAUCCCAUGAUAUAGGACAUAUGCUAUAGGAUCUCAGACAAUUAUAGACCGUUGUAGUUCUAUCACUAUACGAUGCCGAUGCCGUGUGGCGGUGCACCCGCCACGCGCAGGAGAGAUUGAGUAUGGCCCUGUGGAGAGUACACGCGCACGCGAGAAAUUU
rnacentral:rRNA from 1 species